rnacentral:rRNA from 1 species
UACGUAGGGUGCGAGCGUUGUCCGGAAUUAUUGGGCGUAAAGAGCUCGUAGGCGGUUUGUUGCGUCUAUCGUGAAAACCUGCAGCUUAACUGUGGGCUUGCGGUGGAUACGGGCAGACUUGAGUUCGGUAGGGGAGACUGGAAUUCCUGGUGUAGCGGUGAAAUGCGUAGAUAUCGGAAGGAACACCGGUGGCGAAAGCGGCGCGCUGGAUCCCUUCUGACGCUGAGGCGCGAAAGCCAGGGGAGCGAACGGG